rnacentral:rRNA from 1 species
ACACAUGCAAGUCGAGGGGCAGCAUGGUCUUUGCUUGCUAAGGCCGAUGGCGACCGGCGCACGGGUGAGUAACACGUAUCCAACCUGCCGUCUACUCUUGGACAGCCUUCUGAAAGGAAGAUUAAUACAAGAUGGCAUCAUGAGUCCGCAUGUUCACAUGAUUAAAGGUAUUCCGGUAGACGAUGGGGAUGCGUUCCAUUAGAUAGUAGGCGGGGUAACGGCCCACCUAGUCUUCGAUGGAUAGGGGUUCUGAGAGGAAGGUCCCCCACAUUGGAACUGAGACACGGUCCAAACUCCUACGGGAGGCAGCAGUGAGGAAUAUUGGUCAAUGGGCGAGAGCCUGAACCAGCCAAGUAGCGUGAAGGAUGACUGCCCUAUGGGUUGUAAACUUCUUUUAUAAAGGAAUAAAGUCGGGUAUGCAUACCCGUUUGCAUGUACUUUAUGAAUAAGGAUCGGCUAACUCCGUGCCAGCAGCCGCGGUAAUACGGAGGAUCCGAGCGUUAUCCGGAUUUAUUGGGUUUAAAGGGAGCGUAGAUGGAUGUUUAAGUCAGUUGUGAAAGUUUGCGGCUCAACCGUAAAAUUGCAGUUGAUACUGGAUAUCUUGAGUGCAGUUGAGGCAGGCGGAAUUCGUGGUGUAGCGGUGAAAUGCUUAGAUAUCACGAAGAACUCCGAUUGCGAAGGCAGCCUGCUAAGCUGCAACUGACAUUGAGGCACGAAAGUGUGGGUAUCAAACAGGAUUAGAUACCCUGGUAGUCCACACGGUAAACGAUGAAUACUCGCUGUUUGCGAUAUACGGCAAGCGGCCAAGCGAAAGCGUUAAGUAUUCCACCUGGGGAGUACGCCGGCAACGGUGAAACUCAAAGGAAUUGACGGGGGCCCGCACAAGCGGAGGAACAUGUGGUUUAAUUCGAUGAUACGCGAGGAACCUUACCCGGGCUUAAAUUGCAGAUGAAUUACGGUGAAAGCCGUAAGCCGCAAGGCAUCUGUGAAGGUGCUGCAUGGUUGUCGUCAGCUCGUGCCGUGAGGUGUCGGCUUAAGUGCCAUAACGAGCGCAACCCUUGUUGUCAGUUACUAACAGGUUCCGCUGAGGACUCUGACAAGACUGCCAUCGUAAGAUGUGAGGAAGGUGGGGAUGACGUCAAAUCAGCACGGCCCUUACGUCCGGGGCUACACACGUGUUACAAUGGGGGGUACAGAGGGCCGCUACCACGCGAGUGGAUGCCAAUCCCCAAAACCUCUCUCAGUUCGGACUGGAGUCUGCAACCCGACUCCACGAAGCUGGAUUCGCUAGUAAUCGCGCAUCAGCCACGGCGCGGUGAAUACGUUCCCGGGCCUUGUACACACCGCCCGUCAAGCCAUGGGAGCCGGGGGUACCUGAAGUGCGUAACCGCGAGGAGCGCCCUAGGGUAAAACUGGUGACUGGG